AAUUCUCAAGCCUUUAGCUUGGUAUUGGGCGAUUGCCGUGACCUGAUGGGGGGAACGGCUGGCCUUAAACGAAUUAGCUGAUUCUUGCAUGUGGUUGGUUCUACUCGGCGUGAUAAAUUGUUUGUGAUCGCUGAGGACAUCUUUAUGAGAUGGCCAAUGCUUGCUUGGAUUGCUUCUAACAUGGCUUGGGAUCUGCAUGCCCUGCCUUUCAA
rnacentral:misc_RNA from 1 species